rnacentral:tRNA from 1 species
UGGGGCGUAGCUCAGUCGGGUAGAGCAGCUGGCUUAUAUCCAGCGUGUCGAGGGUUCGAGUCCUUCCGUCCCGA